CUAUUUUGAAAUGAAACAAAAGAGAAACUGAAUUCUGCCAACAGCCCCAGUGAGUAGGAAAUGGAUCCUCCCCUCGAACCUCUGCUUUAGGAAAGAAAUGUAGCCUGCUGAUACCUAGGGAGACCUAUUCCUGGCUUCUAACCUGCAGAACUUGAACUUUUAUUGAACGUUUGCUAGAUGGUACACACUGCUACAAGAAUGUAGAAGAAGACGAAGUUCCUGGAAUAUCUCACAGAAAUUUUCGAGAGUCACAGCAGUCAACAAGUGGAAGGAGGUUUCUGAGCCAGAGAACCAGUUGGGAUAGGCAGCAUCCAUUGCUGGCAGAAGCAGCUGAUGCAGAAUGGAGUGAGAGGGCCAACUCUACAU